CUGGCUGCUUCAGGCACCAGUGAUCUUGUAUGCACCAGCUCAGCCUGUUCUAAGUGAGAUAGAAAUCAUAAACAGGCUAAAAUAUGCCACCCCAAAGAGGUGUUGUGAGGAUUCUCCUGCAGCAUGGUGGGGAGCAGUAAACAGUGAUCCAUUAUAAGUAAGGAGGAAGCUGCUUAUGGAAGAAAAAGGUAGAUGCACAAACCCACAGUAUCAGACUUCCUGCUUGGUCACGGGAAUGGGAGGGUUUCCUCUUGGACCCGACUGAGGACACCUGCAGAGGGUGAGUCAUCUGAGAUGGACCACAGCUGAAGCUUCUUGCAGCCAAAGCAAAUGUUUCCCAGAGUGGUGUUGGGACAAUGGAUUUAAUCAUGGCCAGCUGUAAGAUCCAGCCAUCUCAGUCUGAUGGUUCCGCAUCCUGAACGCCAUGUUCCCUCCGCACGAAGUCCACUGGUUGCAAAGUUUAAAACAGGAAGCGUGGAAGCAGAGUAGGGUAACAGAAACAUGCUGGGCCCAUAAGACAGGACAUGCGAAGUCCCAGGUCUUCACGAGGUACCUCGUGAGAAACAACAGCUCACUCCAACUUGGGUAAUUUGAUGAGAGUUUAUUUAUAAAAGGACAAUUUACUAAGGCAUGAGAGAGUGGGGAGGAGCCAUAGGGAUGGUAAAGACAUAUAAGAGAACUAGCUUCAGGGCUGUGACCACUCCGCCUCCCCUCUCCCUACAAAGAGUAGACACAAUUACUAGAAACUGAAAGGGAAGAUGUGAGUGGCAAAGAUCUCCUGGAAAAAGGCAACGACUUCACAAGCGGGGAAGAGGCAGCCUUCAGAUCAUCAGAAGGACCAUUAGAGGGUGCGUGCACAACUGACAUGGAAGAAGGGACAGUUGGCCCCGUGCUGGAGGAAACAACAAUGGACUUGUCUUCUGUAGAAUGCUUGGCCUCCUGGGAGUUGUAGAAUGCCAACUUCAAGUUCAUUCUCCUGGAGGAGGAAUCGGUAAUUCCUUCAAAAUAAAGAUACAAAUCAUUUACAGGUGGAAUAUCCCUCACCUGAAAUCCUUGGAACCAGAAGUGUUUUGGAUUUCAGACUGUUUCUCAUUUAUCCUCCACAUAUAACCUGAAGUUAAUUUUAUUUUUAAUGAUUUGGCACAUGAGAUAUGAUUUCACACCACAGAGUUUUCCCUCUCUGACAUCCUCUUGGUGCUCAAAAAGGUUUCAAUUUUGGGGCAUUUCAGAGAUUGGAUAUUUGGACUAAGAACACUCAACCUGUGUUUUGUUUUCACUGUGUGAAGAUGGGGUUCCAACUGUUCACAGCCCACUGUGGCACAGAAGCCCAUAGCAGUGUGAGGGCCAGAGGGCGCCCUAACUGAGCACCACCCAUCAGCUCGAAACAAGUUGGCUACAGGGCUGCUGUGUUGGCUGCCUUGUCUCCGAAUCUACCCUUGUGAAGAUGGAAUGUCGCUCAUUGGCAGAUUUGAACUUCAGGACUGGGUAUCCCAGAGACCCAGGAGAAUUCUCCAUCUGUCUCUUUUGCAGAAUUUGUGGUGGAGACAGGCAACCAAUACAGACCUACAGGACUGUCAGAAUCAGAUUUUGAAUACUCUCUGUGUAAUCAAACAGCUAAUUAGUGCCUACUAUUCAUUUUUAAGGAAAGUGUAAUCUUUGGGUCUCUCUCUGCUGCUUUGAACCUAAUAAAGAAAUUAGUUUGUAA